rnacentral:rRNA from 1 species
UCCUACGGGAGGCAGCAGUGAGGAAUAUUGGUCAAUGGGCGAGAGCCUGAACCAGCCAAGUAGCGUGCAGGAUGACUGCCCUAUGGGUUGUAAACUGCUUUUAUAGGGGAAUAAAGUGAGGCACGUGUGCCUUUUUGUAUGUACCCUAUGAAUAAGGACCGGCUAAUUCCGUGCCAGCAGCCGCGGUAAUACGGAAGGUCCGGGCGUUAUCCGGAUUUAUUGGGUUUAAAGGGAGCGCAGGCUGGAGGUUAAGCGUGACGUGAAAUGUAGCCGCUCAACGGCUGAGUUGCGUCGCGAACUGGUUUCCUUGAGUGGGUACGACGGAGGCGGAAUUCGUGGUGUAGCGGUGAAAUGCUUAGAUAUCACGAAGAACCCCGAUUGCGAAGGCAGCCUCCGAGUCCUCAACUGACGCUAAUGCUCGAAAGUGCGGGUAUCGAACAGGAUUAGAUACCCUGGUAGUCC